GAAGAUGGCGCACACAUCGGGCAGAAAAAGUUAUGCAAGGAAGCGAAAGGAAAUGGAAAUUGCUCUUGGCAAAGAACCGAAUCGGCUAACUUUUUGGGAGGUAACUCAUAAGAAAAAGAAUGGAAAUUUUGUGAAUGAGGAUGCGGAGAAAAGUUUGGAUGCAGCACGUGCAAAGUUUGUUACACU